GAGGCUGGCGGGCGGGGAGAGACGGACGGUGGAAGAAAAGCGAGAGACAGCGGAGAGCGAUCUGACAGUGAGGAAGAUGAACAAGUUCAGACAGAAGGUGCUGUCAUAAUAAGGUUUGAUGAGAAGGCUGAAGGAAAGACGAAGAAAAUUAACCCGUUUGUACUAACAACAACACUGGCAAGUAAGAUAGGGGAAAUAGUAUUUGCAAAAGUCCUUAAUGAUGGCAGCCUAUUGGUAAGGUGUGCGAAUGAGGAGCAGCUUGAGAAAGCACUCGAAUUAAGAGAUAGGAAAAUGUAGCGUGGAAGACGCAGGGAGAGUGGGAGCACGAGAUGGUGGUAGAUGUAAAGGAGUGAUCACGGGGGUAUAAUGAGUAUAAAUAUUGAGGAGUUAAAGAGGAAUAUCAAAGGAGGAAAAGUAAUGAAUGUGCAAAGACUGAAAACAACAAAGGAGGGAGUGAAAAGGGAAAGUGAAACAGUAUUGAUUGAAUUUGAAGAAGAAAGAGUGCCAGGGAAGGUGUUCCUGGGUUUCAUGAGUUACUCAGUAAGAGUGUAUGUGCCAAAGCCAUUGAGGUGCUGUAAUUGUCAAAGGUUUGGACAUAUAGCUAAAAACUGUACUAGGCAGAGGUGAUGUGCUAGAUACGGGGGUGAUCAAGAGUAUGGAAAGUGUGGAACAGGAAUGCGACCAAAAGGCUGUAAUUGUGGAGGAGCUCAUAAUAUAGUGGGUGUGAGGUUAUGAAACGAGAGAAUAAAAUUCAAGAAAUAAGAGUGAAAAGAAAGAUCACUUAUGCAGAAGCUGUAAGAAUGUCAAGAGAACAGAAUAAUGCUCCUAAUGAACAGGGAGCAGAGGGAUGUGCAACAAAGAAUGCAAAGAGCUUACUGGCCAAUAGCCAGGAAUGCAACAAAGAACAAAUGGCAAGAUUUAUGUAGACAAAAAGGCUCCAGUAAUAUUUCUUGCAGGAGUGAUUAAUAGUACUGCUGAGGUAAAGUCAAAAAGUGAAAAAAUUCAGCUGGUUGUCAAAGUAGCAACGAACCAUUUAGGAUUGACAUGGGAAGAAGUGAGGGAGAACUUCACUAAUCAGUCAAACCAGGAAGUGUCAUGGGUUGGUUAAUACUAAUUAUGGUGAUUCUUUUGCAAUAGAAUGCAAAGAGCUUACUAACCAACAGCAAGGAAUUCAAGCAGUUUAUUAAAGAAAUGGUUGUAAAACUAGAUGUAAUGUGUAUUCAGGAGACUUGGUUGAAACCAACUUUAGACUUUAUGGUAUGUGGAUAUACAAUGAUAAGGAGAGAUAGAAAUCUAGGCGGAGGAGGGGGUUGUGCUAUAUUAAUCAAACAAGGUAUACCAUAUAGGGUACUGGAAAGGGAGAUGAUCAGGAAUACAUAGUGGUGGAAGUGUGGGAGAGAGGGGAGGAAGUGGUUAUAAUUCACUGCUAUAAUCCAUGUAAAAGGUUGGAUUUGGAUAGCCUACUAAGGAUACAAGGACAAAACAGACAAAGUGGUGUGGUGUGCUCACAGCACAGUAUGGGGGGAUUUGUUUACAGAUUCAAAUGGAAAGGUAAAUGAAGAUUUGAUGGAAGAAAAGGAUUUGGUGUUUAUGGAUGAUGGUAGAGGAACAAGAAUAAACAUAACAACAGGAACUGAGUCAGUAUUAUAUAUUACAUUAGUGUCUAAUGUCUUGGCUGGCAUUAGUAACUGGGGAGUUUGGACUGCUUCAACCGUAGGCAGUGAUCACUACCCAGUUCAUGUACAGUGGGUUAAAGAGUUGAAGUAAGAUCAGCUGGUGGAAUCCCGAAGUGGGUGUUUGGAAAAGCAGAUUGGGGUAAGUUCCAGAAGUUGAGUGAAGAAGCAUUGGCAAGGAUUGAUAUUUCUGGAAAUAUAGAUGAAUUAAAUAGUCAGGUGACUUUAGCAAUGAUUAUGGCAGCAGAAGGAUUUAUACCUAGGAGUAAAAUAGGAUGAAUAGAAAACUGGUACCAGAGGAAUGUUGUCAGGCUGUAAAAACCAGAAAUAGAGCAUUCAGACUAGUUAAAAGAACCCAUAAUAUGCAACAUUUGAUUCAGUAUAAGAAGGCACAGGCAGUGGUGAGAAGAACUAUACAUCAAGCUAAAAGGGCAAGUUGGAGGAAUUUUUGCAACAAAAUAGAAAGAGCAACGCCUGUGAGAGAGGUAUGGGGAAUGAUUAAGAGGAUGGGAGGAGAUAGAAGGGAAUGGGAGUAUCCAGUAAAUGAUAUCUGAGGAGGAAACAGCAGUCUCCAGUAGGGAUAAGGCUGAGAUCAUGGCCAAGUAAAGAUACAUAGUUCAGAAAAUUUGGCUGAAGGGAGAAGGAGAAGGGAAAGAACAAUGAGUCAACACCCAGGUGUGUUAAACAGGAGGGAAGAAACUGGUGAUAUAAUUGAUGAACCAUUUACGUUGUGUUACGAACCCCAUAACUGGGUGUCUUACCAGCAAAGAUAGGAGUAGCCGUUGAAGUCUGAUGAUACUAUUUUUAACAGUAUUUAUUAGUAAAAAUACACAAAAAUAACAAUGCAAAUAUACAGAUAAUAUACGUCAUCAAUACUAAACCUAAAAGUGCGGGUAUAAUAAACAUCAGUAAGAAAUAAGCUCUGUCGUUGUCUAGGGGAUAAUGAAUUGUGCGAAGGAAAUAUAAAGUUCAGUUCAUACAGGCUGCAGUUGUUGCUGAUCACCAUGUGGCAACUGUUGGAGAGAGAGAGAGAGAAAAACUUGCCGACUUUCCUUGUUAUGACCUUGAUCCAUAUCCGUCCUUUAGCUAGACCGGGGGUCGGCAACCCGCGGCUCCGGAGCCACAUGUGGCUCUUUUACGUCUGUGCUGCAGCUCCCUGUUGCUUUGGGAAAUAAUUGGUUGACAGCUGGCUGACGUUAUUUUUGGUUUGCUGCUGGCGGCAAAUUUAAGUUUGGCGUUUUUCAUAAAUACAAGAAGGACUCAAAUAGACGUUGAGUAUUUUACUUAAAAGUAACCUUCAACCCAACGUCUUUUUUUCGGAGUUCAAAAUGUUUUUGUUGCGUGCAGAAAUGUAAUUUUGUUUUCUCUGCAGGAGUUCAUCAAUUUCAUAAAUGCAACACAUUAUAGCUUGUUUAUACAUAGCAUAAAGGCAAAACAAAACAUUGUAUGCAGUGUUAUUUCAUUUUAAAUGUCAAACGGGUUUUGCGGCUCCCAGUGUUUUCUUUUCUGUGGGAAACGGGUCCAAGUGGCUCUUUCAGUGGUAAAGGUUGCUGACCCCUGAGCUAGACCAUUCUGUGGAGGACUCGUCCAAGGGUGGACACACACACAAGCCCCCACCAGUCUCGUAGCAUCUCUCCUGGUGCUUCUGAGGAGUGUUCCUCAGACCUGACUUUUAUCCUCACUCACGGGGUCUCAGAUGUCAAUCAGUUUGUGAUGAUGCAAUCCCUCAACCAGACCACUCUGGUUGCCCCCUGAGGGGUUUCAAUGAAUAGUACAGUACUCAAUACACAAUUCCUCCUUCAAGAGACAAUAGCAGUAAUCUUUCUCUUUGUCAAUAGGAGACAUUCCAACCUGUGACUUCUCUCUCAUCAAUUUUUCAUGAGCGUUGUCUCUCUCUCAUUACUGACAUGCUGUGUAUCUCUCUCAUUUCCUGGGUAUCAGACCCAAAAUAAUAGCAAUUUUGCGAUUCUCAAAAAGGGGGGGGGGGGGGGGCAACUUUGCUCCUGAUUUGUAACAGUUGGCAGAGAUGGUGAGAGCAAUAAAGAGAUCGAGACCAACCUCCCCAGGGAAAGAUCUAAUAUGCUAUGUUAUGCUAAAAAAGUCUAGGAGAAGGAGCGCUCUUGAAGUUGCUGCAUCUUUACAACAGAGUGUAGGAGGAGGAAAGAUUACCAAGUGCAUGGAAAGAAGCAGUAGUUAUUCCAAUAAGGAAACCUGGCAAGGAUCCGUCAAAACCCACCAGCUACAGACCAAUAGCAUCAACAUCAAAUAUAUGCAAGAUAAUGGAAAGGAUGAUAACAGAAAGGUUAUCGUAUGAGCUUGAGAAGAAGGGAAUGCUGGCAAGUUAUCAGAGUGGUUUUAGGAAGGGAAGGAAUUCCAUGGACUCAGUGAUAAGGUUAGAGACUGAAAUAAGGAAGGCCCAGGCAAAUGAAGAGUCAGUAGUUGCAGUUUUUUUUUACAUAGAAAAAGCCCAUGACAUGAUGUGGAAGGAAGGAUUGUUAAUUAAACUGCACAAGAUGGGGGUUGGUGGAAGAGUUUUUAAUUGGAAAUGUUUUUUUGUUCGGUAGGAAAUUUCAAGUUCGGAUUGGGUCAGAAUUAUCAAAUCAGUACAUAGUGGGAAAUGGCACACCUCAGGGUAGUGUGAUUAGCCCGUUACUUUUCAUCAUUAUGAUCUUUGUGAUGAUCUUUAUGAUCAUUGUGAUGUCUUCACAAAGGUACCAGUGGAUAUAAGUAGGUCACUGUUUGCGGAUGUUGGAGCUUUGUGGAAAAGAGGUAGGAACGUGGCACAUAUAAUCAGGAAGUUAGAAGGAGCGAUUGAUGAAGUGGUGGAGUGGGGUUAUGAUUGGGGAUGUAGAUUUUCAGUAGAAAAAACUCAAACUGUAUGUUUCACCAGGAAAAUAAUUGAGGUGGGGAAGAAGUUAAGGAUGUAUGGGAUAGAAUUAGAAAGGGUUAGAUCAUUUAAAUUUCUUGGGGUUAUAUUUGAUUCAUGAUUAACAUGGGCAGACCAUAUCAGGAAAGUUGAGGAGAAAUAUGAAAAAAUAAUAAAUGUGAUGAGAUGUUUGACUGGUAGGGAAUGGGGAGCAAGUUGUUCAGCAUUGAAGAGAAUGUAUGUGGCUUUACUAAGAUCUGUGUUGGACUAUGGAAAUGUAGCAUAUGGAUCAGCAAAUAGGUCUCAUAAGGAAACUGGAUGUGAUUCAGGCUCAGGCUUUGAGAGUGUGCAGUGGGGCUUUUAAAACAUCACCAGUAUCAGCCCUACAGGUAAAAUUGCGAAUAAUGCCUUUGGAACUAAGAAGGAUGCAAUUGAUGGCAAACUACUGGGCUAAUUUGCAGGUGCACAAUGAUUCUUACCUUGCAAAAGGAGGAGGAGUACUGGGAGAAUGGGUGGUUUCAGAGGGUUAACUUUAAUUGCCUAGGGGAUGAUAUUGCUAAAGAAUGUGGAGUGUUUGAUCUAAGGAUAAGUCCUUCAGUAGUUUAUCCGGUUGUUGCUUCAUGUUGCUUCAUGUAUGGCCUGACAUAGACUGGCAGUUGUUAGAGGUAAAAAGGAAAGAAAAAUAUAAAAUUGAUUUGGUAAGUACAUUUAACUAUGAUGUGAUGGAAAAGUAUAGUGAUUAUACUCAGAUUUAUAUGGAUGGUGCUAAGGAACCUGAAACAGGAUUGACAGGGUUUGGGGUGGCUAUACCAGCAAGAGAAAUUGGAAUCAGCAGAAGAACAUCUAAUAAGUUAGAGGUUGUAUAGGUAAGUGUAUAGUGUAUGGGUAGAGUGAGUAGGUAUGAAAAUGAAUAUGGUAAAGAAAUGGUUAACAAUUAGAAAUUUGUGGGCCUAUCAUGUUGUUGGGCAGAUUGACCCUUGAUACUAAAUAAAGGGAGGUCAAUAUACGACCCUGGUGUACCGGAUAACAUGCAUGAGAACGAGCUAAAAAGUGUUGAUUUGUGUAAAAGCCAUCAAUUACCUUGUCUCUAAAAUUUUUUUUUAUUGUUUGAUUGUAAGUUAAAUUGGAUGCAUUGUCCCCGGGGAGGCAGAGGCCGACUGUUGAGGGUCAUCCAAUUGUGGGACUUGCAGGUGUGGAGGAUGUAUGUUGGCUUAAUAUAUGACCAGGACUUGGAUUGGCUAAAUUGGGGUUGUGUAAGCGUCGGAUUGGAUGCCUAGCCCCUUCCAGCUGAGCUGGGAGGUGGCAAUGGUACUAUAAAGAUGGGCAAGUCCCUUCUUGGGCAGACCACUCGCCUGGGUCCCACCUUCGGGCUGAGCAGCUGAACCGGUGCCAAGCAACUGCACCCUAGCCAGUCCAUAGUUGAUUGCCUGCUUCAGGGACCACACAGACGUUGCUAAGUAUAUUCGGCGGUGUAGACUACUAGGGGUUGCUUAAGUUAGCCCUACCUAUUAGUGGUGUAGGUAGUGCACAAUGUAACACAUUUCUCGCAACUCUCUAUUUUAGACAAUAGGUGCAGGAGUAGGCCAUUCGGCCCUUCUAGCCAGCACCGCCAUUCACUGUGAUCAUGGCUGAUCAUACACAAUCAGUACCCUGUUCCUGCCCACUCCCCAUAUCCUUUGACCCCGCUAUCUAUAAGAGCUCUAUCUAACUCUCUCUUGAAUGCAUCCAGAGACUUGGCCUCCACUGCCUUCUGGGGCAGAGCAUUCCACAUAUCCACCACUCUCUGCGUGAAAAAGUUUUUCUGCAUCUCAGUUCUAAAUGGUCUACCCCUUAUUCUUAAACUGUGGCCUCUAGUUCUGGACUCACCCAUCAGCGGGAACUUGCAUCCUGCCUCCAUCAUGUCCAAUCCCUUAAUAAUCUUAUAUGUCUCAAUCAGAUCCCUUCUCAUCCUUCUAAAUUCCAGUGUAUACAAGUUUUCUUCUCUGUAUUAACAAUAAAGUGGGUUUUGAAGGAACUACUGAGUUUGGGUCCAUUUGUUCAAGCAAAACCAAGUAGUUGCAGCAUCCACCCGUUACAAUUAUUCAAUUUAGAUCUUAGAUUUGCGGAACAGGGGUGUAUACAGUGGAGAUGUUGGCAGUGAUGGUUGCGUUGCGAUGGAUGGAGAAAGCUAGACUAGUCAAAGUGUUGAUAUGCUCAGGUUAAUCCUCAGUUCUAGCAAGUUUAAGGUCUUUUCACUCAAACAGCCAGCAAGAUGUACUUUAUGAAGUCCUUCAGUCAGUCACAAGAGUUGCAAAUCAGGGAGGUCAGGUAAAAUUUCUAUGGGUUCCAACUCAUGUAGGGGUGAAGGGGAAUGAGAAGGUGGAUGAGUUGGCAAAGAGGGCGUUAAAGGAAGAAAAUAUAGAAAUGCACAUUAAUAUCUGUAAAGAACAGUCAGACAGACAUACUUUAUUGAUCCCGAGGGAAAUUGAGUUAAGAGGCUAAGUGUGUAAUCUGGGAAAAAAUUAACCAAAUGUGGCAAGAAGGAUGGGACAGAGAGGGGAAAGGGAGGCAUUUAUAUCAAAUACAAAAAGAGUGUUACAGAUACUAGGGUAGGCAGUGGAUACAGAAGAGAGGAAACUGUGUGGACUAGGUUAAGGCUGGGGCACUGUGCCCUAAACCAAACAUUGAAAUUGAUAGGGAAACACCAGACAGGUUUGUGUGAGGAAUGUCGGGAAGAGGAGUCAGUAGAACAUGUAAUUCUAAGUUGCAGGAAGUAUGGGAUACAGAGAGAGAUGAUGAGAAUUAAUCUAAGGGAAUUGGGGUGCAGAAAUUCAUAUUAAAAGGGUUACUGGGCAUGGUGAGAGAACAUAGGUCAGGGUACUUUUAGCUUUCUUAAGGGAUACAGGGUUUUUUUUAAUAGAAUAUGAUAAGCAGGAAUAGGGUACUAGGAUGGCUAAAGAAGGCAGGAUAAAGUGUAGAUUAGGGUAUGUGUGUGAGAAUGGGUGAAGGGAUUUAGAAUGUAAGUCUAUCGUCUGAUCCACACUCCGGAGCAGAAGGUGGCGGUAAGGCACCAUUAAGCUGGAUGCCAACCGCUGUAAAACAAGAAGCCCUGGCUGUUUGGCCGCAUGGCGGGCUAAUGGUCGCAAGGGCCGUGGGCGAGGCUGGAGUUAGCAGUGUCACUGACUCGUUACAAGCCGGGAUGAGAGGCGGGGGCUGAAGGACCUGCAAGGAUUGGCAUGCCUUCUACAUUAACGGCAAGUUUGUGGCAGUGUGUGGUGGAGGUGCCAAGCGUUUGAGACAUCCGAUGGCCUAGUUUUGCCAUACUGGAAGGAGGCCUCAUAGUAUCCUGAAACUAUGUUAUGCCCCAGUGCAAGUUGGAAGGAAGAUAUUUUAUCCAUCUCAAAUCAAAUAGUGGACUUUGGAAUUCCAAGGCAUAAUGUUUUGUAAAGAUGAGAAAUUCUGAAGAUACUGGAAAUCCAAAGCAACACACACAAAAUGCGGGAGGACCUCAGCAGGUUAGGCAGCAUCUUGGGAAAUGAAUAAACAGUCAACAUUUAAGGCCGAGAUCCUUCUUCAUGACUGGAAAGGAAAGGCAAAGAUGCCAGAAUAAAAAAAAGUUCAGAGGAGGGAAAGGAGGCUCACAAGAAGGUGACAGGUGAAGACAACAGUGUAAGAAAGGCCAAGGGCUGGAGAGGAAGGAAUCUGAUAGGAGAGGAAAGUAGACCAUAGGAGAAAGGGAAAGAGGUGGGGAUCCAUUGGGAAGUGAUAGGCAGGUGAGAAGAACUGAAAGACCAGAUUGGGGAAUUGAAUGGGAGGGGAGGAAAAAUAUCAGAAAGAAAUUGAUAUUCAUACCAUCAGGUUGGAGGCUACAUUGACGGAAUAUGACUACAAACCUAUAACUUUUUUAAAAUCAGAGUUGGGGAAUAGUAGAUGUAAAGGGGGUUUCUUCUUUUUCUUUGUUACUGCAUAUAUUUAUCAAAAUGGCUUCUUGGUUUUGUUAAAAGUAGGAAUGCUUCUUUGUUAUGAGAGUGCUGGAAGCUUGUUUGGGUUAAAAUUUACUGAUAACGAGAAUUGUAUUCAUUUGUUAACCAAUUGGGAUUAAUGUUAUUCUCUCUCUUCUGAGUCUAUAAGCUAUUGUUGGCGGGCUUUUGGGCAGUCGGCAUGAGGGGGUGAGAGAGAGAGAGGACGCGAUGCUGUAAGCUGGGCGAGGAAUGGACCCCAAGCGGGGGUCCGAGGCCCGGAGGUUUGGCGAGGAGAGGAGAGGAGGAUAGAUAUGCUUGGUUGCCCACUUCGGAUGGUCCUGAGCUGCGAGUCGAGGAGUUUGGAGGGGAUCGAAUGGUGGCCAGAAGACUGCGGUAAUUGAGCUCCAAUGGUUGUGCAUGAAGUGGUUUGGACUAUGAUAAGUUUGGCGCCUUUUCUUUAUUUUCUUUUCCUUCAUAUAUACUGUAUCGUUAUUAAUCUCUUAGUUAUAGUAAUCUUUAUAAAUUAUAAUCAUUUAAUCGCA